AAUUCACUAUUUAUGAUACAUUUUUUGUUCAUGAAACUUCAGAAGUCUAUAACUUUUGUAUAUGAAGUUGAAUUUGAGUGUACUUUAUAUGUACAAGAUUCAGAUCGCAACUCCUACAUUUUCCGUCAAGAUUAAUCGUCUUAAACGGUGACCUCCACUAACUACCACUCUCCUCCUCCUCUCAUCCCUAACCGGUGACCUCCACUAACACUCAUACGUUGUCGUUGCUUUUUCUCUUUAACUAAGCCAUGUUUGACUAUAAAUAGAUUUUGAAUAUUCUUGAAUUUAGGUGUGCCAAUGCUCAGUCAAUGACAGGUUGGACAACUUCAACAAAUGGCAACUUCUCCACUCCCAAGUUUUUUUUUUAAAUUCCCUCUUCUUCUGCAGUAUUUCGCCCACUGUGUUACGGCACUCAAUUUUGAAAUCCAGCUUCCCCAAUCUCGGCACUUAUCUCUCGAUCCUUCUCCUAUAAGUUGCGUCUCACCUCCCUUAUAAUCCCCCGUUCUCCAAAAACCCUACACUUCACCACCACCACCGCUCCAUCAACAACUUCCUUGAAACCCCAUCAUCCCUAAAUAAGCGCUACAAGUACGUUCCAAAUUUUAUUGAAAUCCGAACUUUGGAUUCAUUCAAAUUGGAGAACCAAAAGAUACCCACUUGAUUGACAAAUUAUAGCGUAUCAUCCAUUUUAUUCAGGUUAGACCCAAUCGGCUUUACUUCAGGUAAGACCUUCAUCCAUUUGAUUCAAGUUAGGUUAACCAUUAACCGUUCCUUCUGUCUUUCUACUCGAAUUCAAUAACAUUUUCAUAUGCAGGCUGCCAUAGUCAAGUACCAACUCAACUACACUCUUAUUUUUCUCAAUUUUAAGGUUUGAAGAAUGCUCUCUCUUAUUUGUAACUUGGUCACUCUCAAUUUUACGGUUUGCCACCACCAUCCUCUCCCACCCCCGCUUACACCACCACUCACAAACACUAUUAACUAUCUGACUCAUUAAAAACCAUAACCCCUCAAAUACUUGGAUAUUCUUCUUCAUCAUUUCAAAAUUUUCUUUAUAUUGUUUUGGUUUGGUUGCAUUUUUGAUGAAAAACAAGUUCGACUUCAAGCAGACUGAUGAUUAUAAAGAAGAAACAAAUUCGGGUGUAUUUGUAUGUAUCUGUCUCUAUCUCCAGAACUAUCAUACACAUAUAAUUUUUUGGUAACAGAUUUGGGUGUAUUUUUAUCUAUGUGUGUGUAUUUAUAUCUAUUUGUAUGGAUCUAUGUGACAUAUGAGUAGUAAGUUUAUAAUCACUUUUUGUUUAUUGGUUUUUUUAUUUGUAUUAUGUGGUGAUACAGGGUCUUCAUUGUUAAUCUUGGUGUCUUAAUAUGUGGUUUUACUCCAAAAGACUAAAUCUAGAUACAUAUCCUGUAAGUGUUCACAAUUCAAAAGUUUUACCCCUAUAAAGAAAAAGCUUUGCAACCCUAAGCUAAAAAAAUUUAUGAUGUAUGUGAGGUGAGGGAAGGAUGCUGAUGUAUCCGUGGAGGCAGAUGAAGUCCAAGUGUACAAACUUUUCCUUAUCAAUGAAUAAAAAUUAUAUAGUUGUUAUUGUGUUGUUUAUAAGGGUUUCGUCUGUUGAUAGUAUUAUAUAGGAACAUUGCAAAAGCUACCAAAGGCCAAACUAUUUGAUUUGUUUCAUAGAUGAUAUUUGAUAUCUUUCAUUGUACGUUUAUGUGCUUGCCAUUGCAUAAAAUGUUAGUUGAUUUAUUUUUUUAUUUCUGUUGGGAUCAUAAGGGUUUAGAAUAAUGGUCCGUCAACAAUAUGGAGCUAUUAACGGAAAAAAUCCUUUCUUUAUAUAAUUUCUCACUAAACCAUAUGUUUUCUAAUAGCAUCAAUGAGGAAGAAUAUGGUAAAGACAUCAAGGGUGAGAUUAAUUAGCAAUGUUGUCAAGCUCUAACAUGAUUGGUUGUAGGCAUUCUUUCCAGCCUCUAAUAAUUUUUCUAUUGCAAGGUAAAAUUUUAAAAAUACGGGUUGAUAAAGUAGUCAGUUUUUAAACUCUCCAUUGAAUUUGAGUAUUUGAAAUCUUAUUGUAGGAGGGUAUAUGCUCAUAGAAAAGAGACAGAUAACAUAUUUAAUUUUUAUAUUGUUAAAUGCAAAGAAUAGCAGUGUACUUUUUUGUCUGUUUUCUAUAACAUCUCACUUUUUUUUAACAGAAUUUUGCAAUUAAUAAUGUGAAGAGAAAAUUGGAUAAUGUUGCACCACUUUAGUCCUAACUUUGAUGUAUCUGCGUAUCGGUACACUAUAAUUCUAUUUUUCCCUCAAUUUUCAGCCAACUAAAGAUUUUUUUGGAACAUGUAAUUUGAUUUUAAAAACUUUAUAGUAAAUGACAUUGCAACAUAGUUUACUUAACUCCUCAACUUUAUUCCUAUUUUGUAGGUUAAGCUGAUGAUUUCUUUUGGGCUGAUUCUGUUAGGGGCUAUUCUUUUGGGCAGAAUCAAAAUUCAUUCCAUCACUUUCUAUCAUAUUGUUUUUAUAAGGCAUUUUAACUGUUUGGAAAUGGCAGAAAGCAUUCAAUAUAAAAGUGAACCUAUACGAUGGUCUAAACUUUAGGUAUUUUUAUUUGUAUUUAGAAAUUAACA